rnacentral:rRNA from 1 species
AGAAUCAACGCUGGCGGCGUGCCUAACACAUGCAAGUCGAACGAGAAAGUGGGAGCAAUCCCACGAGUAAAGUGGCGCACGGGUGAGUAACACGUGACUAACCUACCCUUGAGUGGGGGAUAACCUAGGGAAACCUGGGCUAAUACCGCAUAAUACCUACGGGUCAAAGGAGCAAUUCGCUUAAGGAGGGGGUCGCGGCAGAUUAGUUAGUUGGCGGGGUAAUGGCCCACCAAGACAGUGAUCUGUAC